rnacentral:rRNA from 1 species
UACGGAGGGGGCCAGCGUUGUUCGGAAUUAUUGGGCGUAAAGAGCUCGUAGGCGGCUUGUUGCGUCGGCUGUGAAAACCCAUGGCUCAACCGUGGGCUUGCAGCCGAUACGGGCAGGCUAGAGUUCGGUAGGGGAGACUGGAAUUCCUGGUGUAGCGGUGAAAUGCGCAGAUAUCAGGAGGAACACCGGUGGUGUAGACGGCUUUCUGGACCGUAACUGACGCUGAGACACGAAAGCGUGGGUAGCAAACAGG